rnacentral:rRNA from 1 species
UACGUAGGGGGCAAGCGUUGUCCGGAUUUAUUGGGCGUAAAGCGCGUGUAGGCGGUCCGGUAAGUCCGCUGUGAAAGUCGGGGGCUCAACCCUCGAAUGCCGGUGGAAACUGUCGGGCUAGAGUACGGAAGAGGCGAGUGGAAUUCCUGGUGUAGCGGUGAAAUGCGCAGAUAUCAGGAAGAACACCCGUGGCGAAGGCGGUUCUCUGGGACGGUACUGACGCUGAGACGCGAAAGCGUGGGGAGCGAACAGG